UAUAUUUACCUCAAAUGAGGGAUCUGCAUGAUAGUUACCUUUUAAUUUUGGCCUCUUUAACCAAUUAAAACGAUAGUACCGGCGGCCGGUUAUGUACUGAAUUAAAAAAAUAAUAAAAAGCGGCGACGGUGGAAGGGCAAAAUUGGUAAUUGGGAGUCGGAAACUCGGAAUCCAAAUCCAACUCGAAAUCCGUAUGCAAGCGGUAGACUCCAAAUCCACAUAAUAUAAAAGGCCUGGAAACCCAAGCUGGAUAGCUGCAUGAUAGAAAUUAUAUAUAUCACAGAGAAUUUUAAAGUAUUAGUAACAACCAUGGCCGAAACCGAAAGUCGCAAUUUAUAAGUUAAUCCACAUAAUAUAAAUUGCCACCAACUACUGAACCUGGGGCUCUGAUUAAAAAAGAUUACUGUUAUUGAACUUAUGAAUUUGUUGUUUUGGAGCUUGAUUUAAGCACUAGUAAUUGGACCCCUAUCAAGAGUUUGGGUACUAAAUCGCUCUUUUUGGGUCAUAAUUCUUCAAUGUUUAUCGAUGCAUCAACUAAUCCUCAUUGUAAAUUCAAUUACAUAUAUUUUACUGAUGAUUUUCCUGAGAGUUAUUCGAACAUGUAUAUCAAGAAACAGACACGAGGUGAAGGUGAAGGUGCAGAUAUGGGAAUCUAUAAGAUGGAAGAUGGAAAUAUUGAGCGAUUCUUUGAAACAAAUCCUUAUCAUAUUCUUAAUCCACCUAUGUGGGUUGUACAUAGUUUUUAUUUAUGAGGUGGAAGAUUUUCUGUGUGUCUAAUAUUUAUGUAUUUGGAGUCCACCAUAAUCAUAAAUCUAUAAUGUCAUGGUUAAUCCGAUUGUAUGCCAUGUAGAUUAUAUAAUGUGGACAAUCUUACCAUUAUUCGAUUGUGCUAGAAUUUGAAUUCCAUGUCCCCUUACCUAUCUAAGUUUGCAUAUGGAGGGUAUUGUGAAAGAACUUGAACUGGUGAAUUUCAUUUCUGCUGUGUGAAAGUACAUUGGUUCAACCAAUUGUGUAUUUGUAAUAGAUAUUUUGUUAAGAUUGUUUGUGUAAUUAUAUGUUUGUACAUAUUGAUUGAUUUUUACUUAUGGAUGAAUGAAAUGUUAGUUAUUUCCUUGAAAAAUAAUCAAAAUUGCAUAGCCUGCUCACUCUAUUAUAAUUGCUAAAUCUUGUGAAACUGACGUAUUAAAAUAACCCAAUUUCCUUUAGAAAAAUUAUAUUUUUCUACAUCGAGAGUUGAAGAAAGAUAUUUGUAAAAGUCUUAGCUUAGCUUUGCCCACCUCUCUGCAUUUUCUUCAAUAAAAAAAAAAUCACAAAUUAAUAUUUUUAAGCCAAGCGAGAUCUUUCUUGGUAAUUCCCACCAAUCUAAUGAUGUCUAAAUUCUAGUUCAUUUAGGUAAAGAAGAAACCAGCUCUCCGCUAAUCAUAUUAACACUUGAAAAUGUUGAGAAUUCCUAGUGGCCUUAAAAUUCUUUGAACAAUUCAAUAUUUGAUUAUUGGUCCAAGAGUCGGCAUGGGAAUACUCUCUCAUGACAAACCCUUGAUUAGUUUUAACAUCGGCGAUGUUGCAAACAAUCAUGUGUUCCUCUCAAAACUGCCAGUCAAGCCCCAGUAAUAAAUUAAUUCGAGAGCUAUCUCCAGCUCCAUCUGUAUGAUACUUUAAAAGCAUUGUUCCAGUCUUCGAAGACAAUGGUGCUGAAAUAAUUUAUGCUUAAAACCCCGUGAUUUUAACUUUCCUUUCGAAUAAAAAGCCUGAGAGAAGUAAGAUUUCUCACCUUAAUUAGCCAUGAUCGGGCUGUUGUUCAACUCCUGUUAUAGCUUCUGGUUUCUUCUAAUCUGCUGCAGCUUCAAGCCUUCAGCACCUGCAGACCCACAAGCCAGCAAGAUCGAGAAAGAGAGAGAGAGAGGAGAUAAAUUUGAGGAUGCAGCUGAAUCUAGCGCCGGUGAGGGCCAAUUUAGAAUGUUACGGUCGUAUUUAGUUAAAGUUGAUAUUAGCGCAUAUUCAACAUAUAAUUAAUAGGUGAUCCAAAAUCGUACCUUUUAAUCCUAAAAGCAGAAGCGAAUCAUAUUCAACUAGUAAUUCAUUUUAUAGAUUUUUACUUAAUAUUUUAGCUUUGCUUAUUUAUUUAUUUUGAAGAGUUCCAUAGUUUGGUUUUGAUACAGCUGCUUGUUAUAUAAUCCAGCUUUACUAGACUGUCUCGGUUAUAAAUUUAUUUUUCCUAGCGAAAUAGGUGUAAAAAUACCUUUUAUAGAGCUUUGGCUACCGACUUCAAAAAAAGUCUAGAUAGGGGACAAAUGCCUUAUGCAGGCAGUUAGGUAAGAGUGGAGUUUUUACUUUUUAACACUCCUCUAAAAUCUCUGUAACACCCUUUCUAAGUUUAUUUUUAAAAUAUUCUUAGUUAAAUUGAUAAAUUAUGAAUUGAUGUAUUAAAACUAG
rnacentral:lncRNA from 1 species